rnacentral:misc_RNA from 1 species
GAUGAAGAACGUAGUGAAAUGCGAUAACUAAUGUGAAUUGCAGAAUUCCGUGAAUCAUCGAGUCUUUGAACGCACAUUGCGCCCCCUGGUAUUCCGGGGGGCGUGCCUGUCCGAGCGUCAUUACAACCCUCAAGCCCGGCUUGUGUAAUGGGCGGCCGUCUCUCCCCCCGGGGGGAGACGCCCCCGAAACUCAGUGGGGAUGUCGCGAUACCGAAGCCUCAGCUAAUGGGUAAACCACAGCUGCAAUGGCCGCGGCCGGCGUCCGCCUUCCACGGUCCGUCCGCCUAGCGCGGGCGGCCUUCUCAAGGUUGACCUCGGAUCAGGUAGGGAUACCCGCUGAACUUAAGCAUAUCAAUAAGCGGAGGA